CGAAAUUCGCACUAGUCCGAAAGCAAAAAACUAGUAUUUUUUCUUUCAGGCUUGUAGGAAAUCCAAUAUUACAAGCCUGACGUGCUUGUACAAUUCAUUAAACAGAAAACGAGUUCCACUUUCAUUUUCAAUAUUUGUAAACAAAGUUUUGAGCCGCUUAAAUCAACAGCCACUUAUGUUUUAACACACUGCACACACGUGCUGGGCAAUCAGCCGAUAAUUGGAUUACUGCGCAUAAAGCGCAUGGUUUUGUGAUUCCCGGAUUACUAUUAUGUAAAAUAAAUGUUUUGCGUUGCGUUCGGCACACAGAGAGUAAUGGCCAAACAGUUGUCAAUCAAGAUCCGAAAGAGGCUGACUCAGAUGACGAGGAAGCUAACUUGGAUGAGGAUGAAAUUAAUAAGAGAUUUGUAUUGUAUUCUAAAGAUUGAAUAAAUGAAUGCUUCUUU